AGAAAGGAAAAAAAGGGGGGGGGAGACAUAAUCAAUAGAUCUUAACAUUUCCGUUUACAAGUUCCAAGCAAAAUUUGUGACAAUUUUCUUGACAAUCCAAAAGACUAUAUGGGUAUAUAUGAACAUUCCUGCUAAACACAGUGUGACAAAAGCUACUAUUGCGACUACCACAUUUAUUAUCAUUAUGAGUUGCUUAUUACAGUUAAUAACAAUAGCAAUCCUGUAUGUGGCCUAUACCAGAUUCUAGUCCUGCGGUUUUCCUUGUUAACUACCUGUCUCGUAUGGGUAAAAUGAAGUCACCCCAUAUUACCUACUCGUUCGGAUUAGAUAUACAAUUGUUCCUGUCAAACUUUGUGUCUCUCCUGUGGAAGACAAGAAUACUGUCCCUGCAUUUGAUAGUGCGAUUUAUCAGGAUUGUCGAUAAAGGUAGCUGAACUUGAUUCUAUGGUUCAGUAGAAGAAAGAGGGAGAGGGAUAUGUAACUAGGAGGUAUGAACCUGGAGGGGAAUGUAUAGUCGUGUAUUGAAUGUUGAUAUUACCUCUCAUUUGGAAGCGUGACUGACCAACUUCACCUGUCUGUAUAGUGUAGUUGUUCUGCUGUGUAUCUGCUCCAUGUUAUGCGUAUUUGGUUGUGUCUGUGUGUCUUGGCUAAAGUGUGCCAUCUGUGUGUUUAUGAAGUCUACCUUUGGUAUCCUUCUCAUCCACGGGGGGACGUAGGUUUACUUUCUGCCUUUCUCUAUAUUCUUGCGGUGGUAGGGUCUUGUUAAACAC